UUGCCCUCUGCUUUUCACUUUUUUUUGUAAAUUUAAUUAAUAGUCUCUAUUAUUCCAACUAUACACCAAGCUCAGGAUUAACCUCUGAAGAAUGUGCUAUAGUAUCAGUAUUUAUAUGCAGAUAAUAUGUAUAUAUGUAUAUAAGUGAUAUCGCCGGACCCUGUACUCACAGCAAUAGCAUUUACGUCGCUGGUGUGACCUUGGAACGUCUGUUUGCAUUUUCCGUCCCUGAUGUCCCACAGUUUAGCCAACGAGUCACAAGCUCCAGAAAUGAACAUGUUCAUAUCAGGGGAUAAAGCCAGACACAUACAGUCACCCACAUGGUUAAGAUAAACUGUCUUCUGCUUUCCGGUCUCUAUAUCCCACAGUGCACUGGAAGGGAACAGGGGUUAUAAUGGGACUGAGCUUGGAUUGUUCCAGUGUAUUACAUUUGUGGUAUUGUUAAGAAAUUCCUAAAGAUCAUGUGAUCAGCAACGUUAUAUACCAGGUGGUGUCGCCGGAGGAGGUGAGGAUUUCACUGUCAUCGAGAAAGCGGGCACAGGAAAGGCGUCUUCAAGUUGUAUACGGUGCACAUGUUGUCAAGUCCACCACUGGCUACAAAGUUUCCAGAAGGGGAAUAACCACAGGUCAUCACCCAGGAGGACUUCAGAGGAACCGCGUUAAUCUGCUAUACCCUCACAGGUCACUGCACAUUCGUGCAAUUAUGCACUGGACAGUUAUAUCAGGAAAAUGGACAGUUGAAUGGACAGUGAGCUUGUGCCUAUUCUACCCUCUGACUGGUCAGAAACCUUCUACUCUUCCUGAAGGUUGGUCAUGUUUCUGAGAUAUUUUUUCAGCUCUUAGGAGAGAGUGGUUAUAAGAAGUCUUCCUGUCAGCUCAAACCGGUCUGUCCAUUCUCCUACAUGAACAAGGGUAUUUC